rnacentral:tRNA from 1 species
GGGUUAGUUCAGUUGGUAGAGCGUCAGUUUGUGGCACUGAAUGUCGUGGGUUCGAGUCCCAUACU